AGGCGGCUAGUUUAAUAAAAAUAUUUGAUUUCGACUCAAAAGAUUAUGGUUCAAGUCCACACCCGCCUU
rnacentral:tRNA from 1 species